CCCCUAGAUGUUCUGGGCCGCACGCGCGCUACACUGAACAGUGCAACAAGCAUCCGUCCUUGGCCGACAGGCCCGGGCAAUCUUUGAACGCUGGUCGUGAUGGGGAUAGACUUUUGCAAUUUUUGGUCUUCAACGAGGAAUUCCUAGUAAACGCAAGUCAUCAACUUGCAUUGAUUACGUCCCUGCCCUUUGUACACACCGCCCGUCGCACCUACCGAUUGAAUGGUCCGGUGAAGCCUCCGGAUUGGCGCGCACCUCGGUGCCGCCGAGAAGUUGGCUAAACCUUACCAUUUAGAGGAAGGUGAANUCGUAACA
rnacentral:rRNA from 1 species